rnacentral:sRNA from 1 species
UUACGAGACUGCUUGCAGGCAGAGUAAUCUGUCUAUUAGCGGAUCAAACAUACAUGAGCAAGUAGGGCGAUAGCCCGGAAUGCGAAUGUAUGUGCCGGAUUCGGGAGCGCAGAGCGCGGAGAAGCCGGUUA